rnacentral:rRNA from 1 species
UACGGAGAUGGCGAGCGUUGUUCGGAAUUACUGGGCGUAAAGGGCGCGUAGGCGGCUCUGCAAGUCGGGUGUGGAAGCCCUCGGCUCAACCGGGGAAUUGCGUCCGAAACUGCAGGGCUGGAGGACGGCAGGGGAGAGUGGAACUCCCGGUGGAGCGGUGAAAUGCGUAGAUAUCGGGAGGAACGCCGGCGGCGAAAGCGAUUCUCUGGGCCGUUCCUGACGCUGAGUGCGCGAAAGCCAGGGGAGCGAACGGGAUUAGAUACCCUCGUA